AUGCGGCCUACCAAGGUGCGUAGCUCACGGGACCGCAUGAACAAUUUGCCGUGGACGUCGUCCUCCUUUGUCCUCGCCUCCUCGGUCGGUUCAUCCACCGAGCUCAUCACUGAUACAUGCGAGGUUGCGUCCAGUCUCCAGUGCCGCCGCCUUGAGGAGCAGCAGGCCCUCUCACUCUCAGGCGCGAACAUCCACGGCGGAGGAAACCGGCUUGCUUGCUGGCGUGCAUUGGACGCGAUAAUGGACGACGCGCAGCCUCACAGGACGGCGGUGGUUUGUGUGACGAAGGCGAUGGCUAGAGGGCGACGGCAGCGAUUUGAGGGAGGGAGGUUGGAUAGGUACUUUCUGAGGACAUGCCGUGGAUGGGCGGCUCGCCGCCAUGGCCUGCGUGGUGGAGGAGCUCUGGUUGUCCGCAGAAGGACUCGAGUGGAGAGUCGAGACUCGAGAAGCUCCUGCAUGUCGCGGUGUCGGCGGCAACCGCAGACAUGGCGUGGAGAGGAGAGUAUAGAGACGAUGGCGCAUGCAGGAGAGCCGAGGUCGUGUCUGUCCGCGAUGCAGAACUCCGGCCGCGAGCUCACCCAGCCUGCAUGCAUCUCGAGCUCGCAGCCGUCGUUUCGACCUUGCGCCUAUCUUCGGCACCCCGCCGUUUCCGGCCCGUGA
rnacentral:rRNA from 1 species